AUGGUCGAACUCCCUUUGGAUUCUGAAGAGACUGUUGUCAAACAUCCUGCUGUGGAGCUAGAAAAAGGAGAAAUAGAGUCAAUCAACGUGUGUGCAGGAGAAAAAAGUUGUCCUACUGAUGACAUUCAGGUUGAUGAAUGUACUUUGGAUUAUGAGGUUAUUGUUGUCAAAUCACCUGCAGAGAGUGCAGGAGCAAAACUCACUGCCCUUGCGGAUAAUUUAGCUAUUGUCCCUGUUCUGUCACAUGAAGGUGAGAAAGCUUGGAAGGAAUUCUUCUGCCCUUCAUCUGCUGACGCUCCUUCUAUCACAGUCCCUGCUCCAUGGGUGGAUUUCUUCACUGCAAAACUUUUGUUGCCUGUUGAUUUUGAGUGGGCCAAAGCCAUUUUGCAGUCCAAGUUAUGGGACAUUCUGCAGGAAGGAAGUGAGGAAGCUCUCUCAAGAAAAUUUGUAAUUCCUCAUUCCUGCCCUACUUCCUCACCACCUACAUGCACCCUGUCUGCGGCCUCUUUGGAAGUGACUCAAGGUUUCUCCACCCCUCAGGCUCCAAGGCAUAGCAAUCUUAUUGCUGCUCAUGAAUUGUUCAGCACAUCUGUUUUGCAUAUUCGGAAAAAACAGAAGAAAACACCUCUGGUUACCACGCAUGUCAGGCGAAGUGAGAGAAUUAAAUUGGUCAACCAAGGGCACAAAGGCAAAACUUGCAUUGACAAGCACUAUUUGGCUUGUUCUGCAGAAGCACCACUGCUCAAUAAAAAGAUAGUACAGAACUUGUCAAAUAAGUUUGGGGUUGCUGAUGCUCAGAUCCCAAGCCCUCUGAAGGGGAAGAAGACCACCAAGCCCAAGAACAAGGAUGUCAUGAAGACCAAGCAGCCCCCCAAGAAGAAGUGA
rnacentral:rRNA from 1 species